UAACGACUUAUUCAAGAAACUACUUCCUAACUUCAGUCAAUCCUGUGAAGACUCUAUACUACCAGCUAUAUUAUCAGAUUUCAGUGAACAGAAGUAGAAGAUCAUAACGACUUAUUCAAGAAACUACUUCCUAACUUUAGUCAAUCCUGUGAAGACUCUAUACUACCAGCUAUAUUAUCAGGAUUCAAAGAGAGGAUCAAAUCAACUCACUAACUCAAUUAAUUACGAAUUUUAACAGUCUCUCGACACCAGAUAUAUCAACUGAUCAGCAAUGGAUAAAUAUUUGGAAAAUGGCAAACAAAUAUUCGAAGAAUAUUGCGCAACGGCAGAAAACCAGCCUACAAUGCUUCCAA